GCCUCCGUAGCUCAGUUGGUAGAGCAGUCGCCUCGUAAGCGACAGGUCGGCGGUUCGAGCCCGCCCGGCGGCU
rnacentral:tRNA from 1 species